UGGGGAAUAUUGGACAAUGGGCGCAAGCCUGAUCCAGCCAUGCCGCGUGAGUGACGAAGGCCUUAGGGUUGUAAAACUCUUUCGUCGGGGACGAUAAUGACGGUACCCGAAGAAGAAGCUCCGGCUAACUUCGUGCCAGCAGCCGCGGUAAUACGUAGGGUGCGAGCGUUAAUCGGAAUUACUGGGCGUAAAGCGUGCGCAGGCGGUUCGCCAAGUCAGGUGUGAAAUCCCCGGGCUUAACCUGGGAAUUGCGCUUGAAACUAGCGGGCUUGAGUGUGGCAGAGGGGGGUGGAAUUCCACGUGUAGCAGUGAAAUGCGUAGAGAUGUGGAGGAACACCGAUGGCGAAGGCAGCCCCCUGGGUCAACACUGACGCUCAUGCACGAAAGCGUGGGGAGCAAACAGGAUUAGAUACCCUCGUAUUCCCUGAGCGGGCUGGCAAGGCGCAU
rnacentral:rRNA from 1 species